rnacentral:sRNA from 12 species
ACUGUGGAGUAUCAUAUCAAAUGCGAGUAGCUUUUAUGGCAAAAGCAGAUACGUUGAAACAGUAA